ACUUUUAUUUUAGGGUACGCACUAAAUUGGAUACAAUACAGAGAAGUUUAGCAUAAAAUGUUAACGUUUCUCCAACGUUGUCUUCCCAGCAGUUUCACCGGAUGGCCAGGAUGCGCAAGGAUGACACGCAAAUUCGUGAAGCGUUCCACAUUUUU
ensembl:snRNA U6 U6 spliceosomal RNA